rnacentral:misc_RNA from 1 species
UUUUUCUUCUCCUUCUUUCAUUAAUUACAUGCUUCUCUUCAAAGUUUUGCUAUGGCAGCAAUACAAUUACAUCAACUGAUUUCAUCAAAUACCCUGCAACCAAAAUUUCCAAUGCCAACUCCUUCCAAUUGGGCUGGUUCUCACCUAUUAAUUCCACAGCCCAAUACGUCGGAAUUUGGUACCAUCAAGUUUCCCUAAAAACUAUAGUAUGGGUUGCUAACAAAGACAACCCUCUCAACAAUACUUCCG